GCUGAUGUCCUAAAGCACAGACACUCUCCUGACAAAGGCAGGGACAGCGUUCAAGCAUCUGACUCGAGCCUGUGGAGGGCAGGCAGUGUGACCCAGAGGAAAGAGAACUGUGCUGGGAUCUGGCCCUAGCUGCUCAUUAGAAUCAUAUUACACUUACCUAUGCCUGCCCCACCCCAGAGAUUCUGAUUUAAAUAAUCUGUGUCGAGGCCCAAACAGGACUGAUUUUUAAAAACUUUUUAUUAAAGUUCAGUAUACCCACAAAAAAGUGCAACUUUCACAUAUGUACAGCCCAGUACAUUUUCACAGACUGGACACACCCAACAUCUGAAUAUUACAAGCACCUCAAGAGCUCCCACCACCCACCACCUCCUGCCAGGGGUGACCACUCUCCUGACUGCUAGCAGGACAGGUUCCUUUGAACUUCAUGUGAAUGAAAUCAUUGCGUCUCGUUUCAUUUAACAACACAUUGCGAGACCUGCCCAUAUUGUUUCAUGGAGUUGUAGAUUGUUAUUUUAAUUGCUGUGUAGUAUUCCAUGCUAUGAAUAUAUCACAAUUUAUUCAUUCUACUGUUGAUGGACAUCUGGGUGGUUCCCAGUUUUGGGCGAUGAUGAAGAGUGUAGCUAUGAACAUUCUAGUACAUGUCUUUUGGUAAAUAUUCAUACUCCUUUCUCUUGGGUAUACACCUAGGAUGGGGAUCACUGGGUCAGAGUUUAGGUCUUCUUUCAACUUGAGUGAAACUGUCACAUGGCUUUCCAAAGUUGUGUCAGUUUGCACUCCCAUCAACCAGGCAUAAGAGUUCCAGUCACUCUAUAUCCUUACCAACAAUUGGUAGAUUCCAUCUUUUUUCUUUUUUUUUUUGAGAUGGAGUCCUGCUCUGUUGCCCAGGCUGAAGCGCAGUGGUGAGAUCUCGACUCACUGCAACCUCCACCUUCUGGAUUCAAGCGAUUCUCUUGCCUCGGCCUCCCAAGUAGCUAGGAUUACAGGUGCCCACCACCACGCCCAGCUAUUUUUUUUGUAUUUUUAGUAGAGAUGGGGUUUCACCAUGUUGGCCAGGCUGGUAUCGAACUCCUGACCUCAGGUGAUCUGCCCGCUUCAGCCUCCCAAAGUGCUGGGAUUACAGACGCGAGCCACCGCACCCAGCCUCCAUCUUUUUUCAUAUUAUCUAUUUUGAUGGGCAUCCGUGGCAUCUUGUUGCAGUUUUAAUCUGCACACCCCUGAUGACAAAUUACGGUGAGCAUUUGAGCAGCCCUGGCCUCAGUGAUCUCUGGAGCCUUUCCGGGGUCCCUAACUUUGCACAAGGCCCACCAGCUACCCUGGGAACAGCCCUCCAGGGAGGGUUUUUGUGGGGAAACAAAGGGAAUAGAAGGGGAAUAAAAAUGCAGAGGCAGAAACUAUGCAACUGAUCAACCUGCAAGGGAGUGGGAAGAAGAAUGUGGCCACCACAGGAAAGCCCCAGGACUCACACCUGGAACCAAGGUAGAAAGGGAUGGGGCAGGCAACGCCCAUUUACCAGCCCUCUCCUGGGAUCUGGGCACUCGCACGGCCAUCCUGCGAGGGAGGCUUUAUCAUCCUGAUGUUACGGAUGAGGAGCUGAGACCCUCAUGGGACUUGCCCGAACUCGGUGAUGGUGGGAUCUCCAUCCACACAGCCUCCGUCCACACAGCCUCGGUCCUGCAGAGGACUGAAAGAUCAGAACAGCCAGGAAUGUCAGACCUGGGAGCUCCUUGCAGUUCAUGUUCCAACAUCCUUUUCCUGAGGAAAGGGGAAGCGAAUCUGGAGAAUAAGAGGGGCUUGUCAGGCCUUUGUAGGAGCCAUGACUUCCAGAAACCCACGGAGUGCUUUUCCAUAGCUUCCUCCCAUGAUAAUCUCAUCAUGCCAUAGACCUUAAACCCAGGUUGUGGGGCACAUUGGCAGGAACCUCACCACACUGGAGAAGGAUGAGCCCAGACAGCAGGCUGGACUUUCUCAUGGGCACAUUCAAGAUGCCUGCUACCCCCCGGAGACUCCCAGAAGUGCCUAGGGGUGAGGAGGUUGUGGUUUGCAAUGGAUCACAAGCCCCAGCAAGGAUCCAGGGGCUUCAAGCCCAGGCAUCUCGGGUGUCAGUGUCAUUGUGCCUCAUUGUUCCCAACCACAGGAGGUCAGGCUGGGGGCCACUCCCAGCACAGACUUGCUGGUAAUGUGACUGCCCCAGAUCCCUCUUCAGAACCCAGUGGCUAAGAGCCUAGAGUCUGAAGUCAUCUGCCAGCUCAACCACUUGCUAGCUGUGUGACCGUAGAAAGUCUAUUUAACUCUCUGCCUUGGCUUCCUGAUAUACAUUGCAGGGAGGAGGAGAAUAAUAUUAUCCAUAGCUCACAGGAAGUUUGCAAAGAUUAAAUUAUAUGACGUAGUACCCC
rnacentral:lncRNA from 1 species